CAAAUACUCCCUCCGUCCGGAAAUACUUGUCAUCAAAAUGGAUAAAAGGAAAUGUAUCUAGACGUAUUUUAGUUUUAGAUACAUCUCUUUUUAUCCAUUUUCAUGACAAGUAUUUUCGGACGGAGGGACUAGAAA
rnacentral:pre_miRNA from 1 species